rnacentral:rRNA from 1 species
UACGGUAGGCAGCGAGCGUUGUUCGGAGUUACUGGGCGUAAAGGGUGUGUAGGCGGUUGUUUAAGUUUGGUGUGAAAUCUCCCGGCUCAACUGGGAGGGGUGCGCCGAAAUACUGAAUGACUAGAGUGCGGGAGAGGUGAGUGGAAUUCCUGGUGGUAGCGGUGAAAUGCGUAGAUAUCAGGAGGAACACCGGUGGUGUAGACGGCUCACUGGACCGUAACUGACGCUGAGGAGCGAAAGCGUGGGGAGCGAACAGG